AAAGUGCAACUGUGUAAACCUGAUUAUACUGCAGGUUUACAUUGCAUGCACUUA
rnacentral:pre_miRNA from 1 species